CCUACGGGAGGCUGCAGUGAGGAAUAUUGGUCAAUGGCCGAGAGGCUGAACCAGCCAAGUCGCGUGAGGGAAGACGGCCCUACGGGUUGUAAACCUCUUUUGUCGGGGAGCAAAGAGAGUCACGUGUGACUCAUUGAGAGUACCCGAAGAAAAAGCAUCGGCUAACUACGUGCCAGCAGCCGCGGUAAUACGUAGGGGGCAAGCGUUAUCCGGAUUUACUGGGUGUAAAGGGAGCGUAGACGGUUAUGUAAGUCUGGAGUGAAAGCCCGGGGCCCAACCCCGGGACUGCUUUGGAAACUGUGUAACUGGAGUACAGGAGGGGCAGGCGGAAUUCCUGGUGUAGCGGUGAAAUGCGUAGAUAUCAGGAGGAACACCGGCGGCGAAGGCGGCCUGCUGGACUGAAACUGACGUUGAGGCUCGAAAGCGUGGGGAGCAAACAGGAUUAGAUACCCGUGUAGUC
rnacentral:rRNA from 1 species